GAGUGUGUCAGAGGGAGGUAGAAUUCCACGUGUANCAGUGAAAUGCGUAGAGAUGUGGAGGAAUACCGAUGGCGAAGGCAGCCUCCUGGGAUAACANUGACGUUCAUGCCCGAAAGCGUGGGUAGCAAACAGGAUUAGAUACCCUGGUAGUCCACGCCCUAAACGAUGUCGAUUAGCUGUUGGGCAGCANGACUGCUUAGUAGCGAAGCUAACGCGUGAAAUCGACCGCCUGGGGAGUACGGUCGCAAGAUUAAAACUCAAAGGAAUUGACGGGGACCCGCACAAGCGGUGGAUGAUGUGGAUUAAUUCGAUGCAACGCGAAGAACCUUACCUGGUCUUGACAUGUACGGAACCCUCCAGAGACGGAGGGGUGCCUUCGGGAGCCGUAACACAGGUGCUGCAUGGCUGUCGUCAGCUCGUGUCGUGAGAUGUUGGGUUAAGUCCCGCAACGAGCGCAACCCUUGUCAUUAGUUGCCAUCAUUAAGUUGGGCACUCUAAUGAGACUGCCGGUGACAAGCCGGAGGAAGGUGGGGAUGACGUCAAGUCCUCAUGGCCCUUAUGACCAGGGCUUCACACGUCAUACAAUGGUCGGUACAGAGGGUAGCCAAGCCGCGAGGUGGAGCCAAUCUCACAAAACCGAUCGUAGUCCGGAUUGCACUCUGCAACUCGAGUGCAUGAAGUCGGAAUCGCUAGUAAUCGCAGGUCAGCAUACUGCGGUGAAUACGUUCCCGGGUCUUGUACACACCGCCCGUCACACCAUGGGAGUGGGGGAUACCAGAAGUAGGUANGGUAACCGCAAGGAGCCCGCUU
rnacentral:rRNA from 1 species